UAUUUCAUUCCCGUUUUGCUCACUGCCGAACAAAACAACUUCUCCUCUUUCGUUGCUAUUUCAUAACCCCAAGUCUUCUACCACUGCUGCUCUCUAACAUUCAAUUGCUUGCUGCCACUUCUCAACAGGGCUACCGCUACUCCUCUGGUGCAUUUUCAAACUUCAAGCUCCUUCAUACUCCAGUAGCUACUAGUUCCAUCAGGUUUCAAGAUUAAGUCUUCAAGCUCAAACCUCAAGGCUCAAGCAAAUUUUUCCAAUUGAAAAAAAAUUGUAUGUAUAUGACGUAUUUAUGACGUCAUCCGGUUCGACUUCCAAUUGAACCCGAUCGACCUCAUUGAUCCCUGACCCCUGAAUUCGGCUGAAUAGAUGCUCGUCUUUGUGUUGCACUUCCAACUUCACUACUCACUAUUCACUAGCACUAGCAAAGCUGGCCAGCAAGGAAAAAAUCGACUGGUAGCUAUUCUUCUCAAUGGUUAAUGGCAUGCUGGUGGCACUUCUUCUCCAAGCUUAGCUUCUACCCUUGAAAUCGGACUGACUAGUGAGCCGAAAGACACUUCCAACCCUCUCUUCACUCUAGACGAAUUUAGAGAAUCAGAUUCAUAAAUAUUAUUGAACAAACUGAGAAGGUGGGUGAAAGUAAUACAAAUCCAAAUCCAGUUGAGAUGGAUGAUGAUAGUGGUAGUGACAACAACAUUGAAGAGACAAUGGAAAUGAGCCAGUCUCAACGUCCUAACCCUGCUCUUAAAGGGAAAAAAAAGGAAGCUAACUUCUGAAGUUUGGGCUUACUUUAUAAUCCUGACUCCAAAACCAAAUGAGGAAUUGAAGUGCGAAUGCAAAAAAUAUAAGCGUAUCUACUUUGUAGAGAGUAAAAAUGGGAUAGGUAACCUCCUUUGACAUAUAAAAAAAGUCAACAAAUGACAACUAAAGACAUUGGUCAAUAUUUACUUACUGCUGAUCGAGGAGCUUUGUCCACAAGAAAUUCUCAGUUUAGUCAAGAGAAAUUUAGAGAUUUAAUAAUGCAUGCAAUCAUCAGACAUAAGUUGACAUUUUCAUUUGUCGAAUAUGAGGGAGUUAGAAAUGUUUGCUCAUAUUUGGAACCACAAGUUAAACAUGUCACUUGAAACACCGCUAAGGCAUAUAUAAAAAAAUUUCAUGCUAAAGAAGUUGAUAGGUUUCGAGCUAUACUACAAUUAUGUUCGAGUCGAAUUUCUUUGACUUUUGAUGCAUGGAGCUCCAUGGUUACUGUACUUGAGUUUGAUCGUACAUUUUGUUGAUAAUAAUUGGAUGCUGCAAAAAAAAUUUCUAAAUUUUUCUUAUAUGCCUCCUCCUCAUAAUGGAGUUGCUCUAGCAAAAAAAAUUUAUAGUUUGGCUAGUGAUUAUGGCAUUGAAAAGAAAUUGUUCACCAUCACUUUGGAUAAUGCUUCUACAAAUGUUUCUUGUGUCCAAAUACUUUAGAAUCAGCUUAGGUCGAAAGGUGCUUUGGUGCAUGAUGGCAUUUUAUUUCAUGUGAGGUGUUGUGCUCAUAUUCUAAAUCUGAUUGUGCAAGAUGGUUUGAAAGAAAUUGAUGUCUCAGUGGAUAGAAUAAGGGAAUAUGUGAAAUAUGUGAAGGGUUUCCAAGUGAGAAAAGUAAUGUUUACUCAAUGCAUAGCACAAACAUCCCUUGAUUGUAAAAAGGCCUAGUUCAAGAUGUCCCAACUAGGUGGAAUUCCACUUAUAAGAUGCUUUCAAGUGCUCUUUAUUACCUUCUUGCCUUUUGUCACUUACAAUUACGUGAUUCCAAUUUUUAAUGCUGUCCAUCUUUAGAGGAGUGGGAAAGAGUUGAAAAGAUUUGCAGUUUUUUAGACAUUUUUUAUGAUGUAUCCACGGCCUUCUCAGGAUCUAAGUACCUGACUGCUAACUUGUACUUUCCUCAAGUUUUUGUGAUUCAAUUAAAGUUGUUUGAGGAGUGUAGCAGUUCUAAUGGCUUUAUGAAAAAAAUUGCUGAACAGAUGUUUGUGAAACUUGACAAAUAUUGGUCUGAGUUCAAUAUUUUGUUAGCCAUUGCUAUGGUAUUUGAUCCUAGAUACAAAUUUCAGCUUCUUGAGUUUAGUUAUAUGGUCUAGGGUUUGCAGAACUAACAAAGGUCAGGGAUGCACCUUUUAGUCUCUUCAAUGAAUAUGUUAGAGUUAGUAAGACAUCUCAGCCAUCAUCAUCCUAUUCUCGAGGUAGCAAUGACAUGAAUGAGACCUCUUUUGAUGCAGCAGAAGUACAAGGAAAACAAUCAGUGAAUGUUUUCAAGAUUUGAGGCUGGAGGAUAUAACUCAAGAUAUCAUGUAUUUGAACAUAUCAAAAGAUGAUGUCCAAUUUGUUGAAGAUCCAAACUCUAAUGUGGUCAAGCUCUAAGUCAUUGACUUUGGGUACUUAAAAAUUGCCUGCAUCCCUUGAUUUAGUGAAGUUUGGAAGUUAGAACAGGAGUAUCAGUUGACUAUUUCAGCUUGGAACCUGGACCAAUGAUUAUGUUUCAGUUUUAUGUCUAUUUUGUUGCUAUUUAGUGUUUAUGACUUGUAGCCAUCGGGAUUUGAUGAUGAAUUAAUGAUAUUGGGACUUAUUAUUAUUUAAUGUCUUUUUAGUUUUCAUGGCUUGUAGCCAUUUGGAUUUGAUGAUGAUAUUGGGAGUUCAGACUUGUGAUUACUGAUUAUCAGCUUA